UGCACUGAGAUGCUACAGGUUGCCCAGU
rnacentral:piRNA from 1 species